rnacentral:ribozyme from 13 species
UCUUUCUCUUUCUCUUUCUCUUUCUCUGUUCUUAAGCUCUUUUUCUUCAUCCGAAAAGCAAAUAGGAGAGAGAGAGAGAGUGGGGGAAGGGUUAAGAGAAGGUGGUUGCGAAGAAGAAAAGUCA